CUUUCUUUGCUGAAGGGCACAGCUAUUCCAAAAACCCGCCAUCAUUUCCUCUUUUAGGUGAAAGAUGAUAGGGCUUCCUGCUCCUGUUAGCCUAGGAUGCUUUACCAUAGCUGGCUGGUUUCCUUUCACGGGACCCAUAUCUCUGUAAAUGUUCCCUUUGUCGAACUCAUCCUACCAGCACGUAGACUGAUACAUUUGCUUAGACCAAAGCAGGGUGGGACUGUUGAUGGAGAAGAGAGCACUGAAGGAGUAUUGGUGGGAGGCUGGCCGGCUUCCCAUUAUAGAAGCUCACCUCCAGGUGGCUAGGUGUAAUCACAGCCAAUCAAGAACACCCACCCCAUUUUGGAUCUGGAGCCAGAAGCAGAACAGUGAAGAAUUUUCUUCUCUUGGCAGCCACCGUCAGGAAGCUGCCAUGGACUGGAAACUGCCACAUCCAGGGAAUUGCUACUCCAGAAUCUGCCGCACUUGCUAUGAUAUUAACUAGUGACAUGGAUGUCCUGCACCCUGCCUCCUGGUGCCCAAGAAGCUCCAGUCACUGUGAUCUCAGUUAACCACCACCACUGGAAAGCUCCUCCUCUCUGAUUGUGCUUAUCACAGAGCCAGCAGCAGAUGGCCUCUGCCUCACUCACACCCUCCCUCUGCAUCCAGCAUGAUAACUUCUGAUGGUUGAUCCUGUAUCACAAGGAGUCCCAAUUGCAAGAAUGUCCAUGGGAUGGAGCUUUAAGCGUCUCAGUUCUACAGAACAGGAAAGCAAGCUGGAAGGAGAUUGGAAUGGUUGUUCUGUACCAACCCAGUUAUCUACCAAGUGCAUCAUGAAAUAAUUUGGUUUUUUAAAUCUUUUUUUUUUUUUUUUUUAAGAUUUUACUCAUUUAUUUGACAGAGAGAGAGAUCACAAGAAGGCAGAGAGGCAGGCAGAGAGAGAGAGAAGCAGGCUUCCCAAUUAGCAGAGAGCCCGAUGCGGGACUUGAUCCCAGAAACAUGAGAUCAUGACCUGAGCCGAAGGCAGAGGCUUUAACCCACUGAGCCACUCAGGAGCCCCCAAAUAAUUUGUUUUAAAGACAGGAGAACCCUUGAUGGCACUAGCCCAGAUCUGAGGGUAAAUGUGGACACUGUGUGUGUGUGUGUGUGUGUGUGUGUGUGUGUAAACUAAGGAGGAAUCCGAAAGAAUGUCUUUCCCAGAUAGUCUUCUCGAUUCUACAGGAAAGGCCAAUGUAAGACUGGCUGAAUUCUGUGCCUGAGAAGUAAUAGGAAGAGAAGGGUCUAUAUUGCCUACUUUUUUCUCAGUUAGUGUCUGACCCUUUUCCCCUUCCUGAUCUUGGUGCUAUAGCUCAGAGCCUGGGCCUACUUUGUUUAAAACCUGGCUUUGUCAUCUGUUGUCUCUGUUAAGUGUUCAAGCAAGAGUAUCUAGGAUUAGUUCUCUCUUUAUGUAAUCUUAACUGUAUCUUUUCCUUAGUUAAGACAUACAGACACAUAUUUCCUGUUUUCUAAAAAACUCAGUGCUAAGUAUAAUGGCAUUUUCCAUACUGUUUCU
rnacentral:lncRNA from 1 species